rnacentral:rRNA from 1 species
CUAGCGUUGUUCGGAAUUACUGGGCGUAAAGCGCACGUAGGCGGCUUUUUAAGUUAGAGGUGAAAGCCCGGGGCUCAACCCCGGAAUUGCCUUUAAGACUGCAUCGCUUGAAUCCAGGAGAGGUGAGUGGAAUUCCGAGUGUAGAGGUGAAAUUCGUAGAUAUUCGGAAGAACACCAGUGGCGAAGGCGGCUCACUGGACUGGUAUUGACGCUGAGGUGCGAAAGCGUGGGGAGCAAACAGG